rnacentral:rRNA from 1 species
GAUGAACGCUGGCGGCGUGCUUAACACAUGCAAGUCGAACGUGAGGGUGCAGCAAUGUACCUGAAAGUGGCGAACGGGUGAGUAACACGUAGAUAACCUACCCUGAAGUGGGGGAUAACGACGGGAAACUGUCGCUAAUACCGCAUGAGCUUGACGGUCUGGGAAUAUUGUCAAGGAAAGCUUUAGUGCUUUGGGAGGGGUCUGCGUCCGAUUAGCUAGUUGGUGAGGUAAUGGCUCACCAAGGCGAUGAUCGGUAGCUGGUCUGAGAGGAUGGUCAGCCACACGGGAACUGAGAUACGGUCCCGACUCCUACGGGUGGCUG